UUUUUUUUUUUUUUUUCGUCUGUCAUAGUUUGAAAUGUUUUUUCAUAAUGUUGCCACAUGGGACAAUUAACCAAAUAUUUUGGUCCAAACGUUUUUAUUUUUCUGCCGGAGAAGAGUACGAAUUUAGGAGGCAAAUGAACAAAUGAAUAGGUAGGUGUUGGUGAAAAUGGGUGGUAGUGUGGUUUUCUUUCUUGGGUUUUUGCAUCCUGUGUGACAUCUGAGUGAGCAAAUUUUGGGCUUCUGUCCUUUAAAAAAAUUGUGAUAAAAUUUGUAUACAGUGAACAACGUAAUUAUUUUUAUAAAUGCAUAUUCCCAUGUAACCCUUAUUCCUCUCAAGAUGUAGAACAUUUCUGGUUCUUUUGUACUUCCUUCCAGCCAUAUUUCACCCUCUGUAGGCAACCACUGCUCUGGUUUUUUAUCACCAUAGAUGUUUUGUGUUGCUCUUGACCUUUAUAUAAUUGGAAUAAUGCAUUAUAAAUUUUUUUUUCAUGGGUAUCAGUUUAGGGUUUUUAUGCAUAGAAAUAUCAGUUGAUUCAUGGAGAGUAUCUUCAGCUGAUCUUUCAGAAGGUUAAUUUUUUUUUACUCAUGAAAUCUAUAUUAAGCAGGUACUCUUAGUUUUGAGCUGAGUAGUAAGAAAAUAAUGAUGAACAAGAUGGAAAAUUCCCGUUGUGGUUCAGUGGAAACAAAUCUGACUGGUAUCCACGAGGACACAGGUUUGAUCCCUGGCCUCGCUCAGUGGGUUAAGGAUCUGGCAUUGCCAUGAGCUGUGGUGUAGGUCCCAGACUCGGCUUGGAUCCCACAUUGCUGUGGCAGUGGUGUAGGCUGGUGGCUGUAGCUCCAACUUGACCCCUAGCCUGAGAACCUCCAUAUGCCGUGGGUGUGGCCCUAAAAAGAUUAAAAAAAAAAAAAAAGAAAGAAAGAAAGAAAGAAAGAAAACAAAACCAAGGUGGAAAAAAUUCAUAGUUUCUAGUGAAACUAUAUUUUAGUGACUAGAGACAGAACCAUAUAAACAUAUAAUUAAGAUAAUUACCAUAUUUGGUAACUGUCGUAAAGCAAAGACAAAAGCACAGGAUGAUGUGAUAGAAAGUAACUUGGAGGUGAGAGUUGGAAAGGAGGCUCACAGGAAGACUGCUUUAGUUAGAAUGAUCAACAGAGACUUCUCUGAGGGUGUAACAUUUGAGGCGACAUCUGAAAAAGGCAAAGUGAGUUUUAUAAAAAGUCAUUGGAAGAGUGCUCCAGGCAAAGUGGAUUAUAGGUGCGGUGGCCCUGGUGGGGCCUUGGCAUAGUGGAAGAA
rnacentral:lncRNA from 1 species